GCCAGAGGGGGCAAGCGUUGCUCGGAAUCACUGGGCGUAAAGGGCGCGUAGGCGGGAUGGCAAGUCAGUCGUGAAAUCUCUCGGCUCAACCGAGAAACGUCGGCUGAUACUGCCGUUCUUGAGGGAUGCAGAGGAGACUGGAAUUCCCGGUGUAGCGGUGAAAUGCGUAGAUAUCUGGAGGAACACCGGUGGCGAAGGCGACAUCCUGGACCGGUAUUGACGCUGAGGCGCGAAAGCCAGGGGAGCAAACGGG
rnacentral:rRNA from 1 species